UGCCCAUGCCAUGUAAAAAUGUUAUGUUAAGC
rnacentral:piRNA from 1 species